UACGGAGGGUGCGAGCGUUGUCCGGAAUCACUGGGCGUAAAGGGCGCGUAGGUGGCGCGGGCAGUCAACGGUGAAAGUUCGGGGCUCAACCCUGAAUCGGCCGUCGAUACUCCUGGGCUCGAGCACUGUAGAGGCAGAUGGAAUUCCGGGUGUAGCGGUGGAAUGCGUAGAGAUCCGGAAGAACACCGGUGGCGAAGGCGGUCUGCUGGGCAGUUGCUGACACUGGAGGCGCGACAGCGUGGGGAGCAA
rnacentral:rRNA from 1 species